rnacentral:rRNA from 1 species
AUACGGAGGGUGCAAGCGUUAAUCGGAAUUACUGGGCGUAAAGCGCGCGUAGGCGGUUUGGUAAGUCGGAUGUGAAAGCCCCGGGCUCAACCUGGGAAUUGCAUUCGAUACUGUCAGGCUAGAGUAUGGUAGAGGGAAGCGGAAUUCCAGGUGUAGCGGUGAAAUGCGUAGAUAUCUGGAGGAACAUCAGUGGCGAAGGCGGCUUCCUGGAUCAAUACUGACGCUGAGGUGCGAAAGCGUGGGGAGCAAACAGGAUUAGAAACCCCGGUAGUCC